rnacentral:rRNA from 1 species
UACGUAGGUGGCAAGCGUUAUCCGGAAUUAUUGGGCGUAAAGCGCGCGCAGGUGGUUUCUUAAGUCUGAUGUGAAAGCCCACGGCUCAACCGUGGAGGGUCAUUGGAAACUGGGAGACUUGAGUGCAGAAGAGGAAAGUGGAAUUCCAUGUGUAGCGGUGAAAUGCGUAGAGAUAUGGAGGAACACCAGUGGCGAAGGCGGCUCUCUGGACGGUGACUGACGCUAAGACGCGAAAGCGUGGGGAGCAAACAGG